rnacentral:rRNA from 1 species
UACGGAGGGUGCAAGCGUUAUCCGGAUUCACUGGGUUUAAAGGGCGCGUAGGUGGGUCUGUAAGUCAGUGGUGAAAUCUUCGAGCUUAACUCGGAAAGGUCAACUGAUACUGGGCGACUAGAGUGCAGAAGGGGCAACUGGAAUUCUCGGUGUAGCGGUGAAAUGCGUAGAUAUCGAGAGGAACACCUGCGGCGAAGGCGGGUUGCUGGGCUGACACUGACGCUGAGGCGCGAAAGCGAGGGGAGCGAACGGG